UACAGAGGGUGCGAGCGUUGUCCGGAAUCACUGGGCGUAAAGGGCGCGUAGGUGGCUUGGUAAGCGUGUGGUGAAAGUCCGGGGCUCAACCCCGGAUCUGCCGUGCGAACUGCUGAGCUGGAGCACUGUAGAGGCAGGUGGAAUUUCGGGUGUAGCGGUGGAAUGCGUAGAUAUCCGAAAGAACACCAGUGGCGAAGGCGGCCUGCUGGGCAGUUGCUGACACUGAGGCGCGAGAGCGUGGGGAGCAAACAGG
rnacentral:rRNA from 1 species